CUGGUCACAUGACGUUUCACGCUGAUCACAUGACACUCUCGCAACUCGCGAUUUGUCGACACUGUACGUAUACGCAUAGCGUUGGGUCGGUAAGUCAACGAAGUUGUCACAGCUAAGCAAGCUAUAAUCUUAGUCGGCAAUAGGUAUGAUAUCAUACCUUGGAUGGAGGAAAGUCUAGUUUUUCAACGAUUCUGCCUCAUGUCUACCAAUUGUAUAAGAAGGUCAAUCAUCUUGUUUAUUUGAUGGGUAAUCAAGGAAGUAUCAUCAAGUCUCACAACAAUGGCCCUGUCUCCUCUGCUGCCAUGUACCCUAUGGUUGUAUAUAGCACAACAAGCUAGGCAGAAGAACCAGAAUAAGCAUCAGUCCUUAUUUCAACAUUUUAGAAAGAGGAGGAAAGGCAAAAACAACCAGAAGAGGUCGUGUAACUCUUCUAUCCUUUAGAAGACUGUAAGAGCACCAUACUUUACUCAUGCUGAAAGGAAUUUUUUGUGGUAAGCUGAUUAUUCUGUUCAAAGAGGGAAUUGAGUCGCAAAGUAUGAGGAACUAGGAACUAAUUCACAGUUCGGAAAUCAAUCAUCAAUGAGUGCUUCUUUAGAGGCUUCCUUAGAAGCAGUUGAAUUAGGACAAGAGGAAUGAUAUAUUUAUUGUCGAUUCAAUAUCUUCGUUAGGCGAGAAAGAGGUGACUACUUUAUAUUUGAAGAUUAGAGGUUGCUUUAUAUAGUGUCUGUAUAGCAUAUGGUAUUUUGCUUUGAGACCUGUUGCUGGUUUUUAAAGUAUGUUCUGUAUCUAUGUUGAAGAUGUAUCACAAUAAAUGACAGAGGGCACGGAGUGGUGUGAAUUACCGUAUUUAUUCCAAGUCAGCAGUAUUGUUGGCACCAACUGAAUGUAAACCCUUAUAUUUACCAGAUACAUGUGCGUGCAUGCUCCUGUGAAGUUCAUGUCAAUUGUACUUAUGCAAGGGUCAGUACGACAAACAAUGUGUUCUUUCUUGCAUCAAUCAUAUUUACCUGUGAGGUGAUGGAUUUGGCUUUGUGUAUUGCUAGGAACUCUCUAAUUCCAUCAAGAUCAAAUACACCAAACAAGAAUCCAGCAGCCUGGAUUUCAUCUUUACAGUCACAGUCUUGAUUGAUCUUUCCGGCUAGUCUUCUGCACACAGACUCACUGGGCAUCACAGUACUGGUGUGGGGGUUGCUGAAAAGACUGCUUCUGGGGACAGUGAUGACCUGACCCUGCUCUGGACUCACACUAGGAAACUUCAGUCUACCGCAUUCCUGCCUGGUCAGCUCUCUGAUAGACCUACGAGUGUGAAUCGUUAUCGGAACCGCCCACCAUGUAUAUGUACGGCUUCAGUCAAUGAUUGUCUGCCUUUGAUUGUCGAGCUUGAGAAAUUCGCAAACAUUUGGGCGCGAAAGAAACUGGCGGUGGUCAGAACACACUUGCGCGGGGUAGAUUUACGCGGGUAACUUUGAAGUCUGCACGUGCAGACAGUCACCGGCACAUGCAAACAAUGCGCAAGCGUCAG